GAUGAACGCUAGCGGCAGGCUUAACACAUGCAAGUCGAGGGGCAGCGCGGGGCGGCAACGUCCUGGCGGCGACCGGCGGAAGGGUGCGUAACGCGUGAGCGACAUGCCCGUUGCCCGGGGACAACCGGUGGAAACGCCGACUAAUCCACGAUGGGACGGAGGCCCUCAUGGGUCUCUGUUGAAAGUUACGGCGGCGACGGAUUGGCUCGCGUCCGAUUAGCUUGUUGGCGGGGUAACGGCCCACCAAGGCUACGAUCGGUAGGGGUUCUGAGAGGAAGGUCCCCCACAAUGGAACUGAGACACGGUCCAUACUCCUACGGGAGGCAGCAGUGAGGAAUAUUGGUCAAUGGGCGGAAGCCUGAACCAGCCAUGCCGCGUGCGGGAAGGAGGCCCUAUGGGCUGUGAACCGCUUUUGCCUGGGGGCAAUGAGGGCGUCGGGCACGUCCGAUGAGAGUACCAGGGGAAUAAGCAUCGGCUAACUCCGUGCCAGCAGCCGCGGUAAUACGGGGGAUGCGAGCGUUAUCCGGAUUCAUUGGGUUUAAAGGGUGCGUAGGCUGUGCGUCAAGUCAGGGGUGAAAUUCCGGGGCUCAACUCCGGGGCUGCCCUUGAUACUGUCGCGCUGGAGUGCGGAUGCCGCCGGAGGA
rnacentral:rRNA from 1 species